rnacentral:lncRNA from 1 species
AUCUUCACAACAACCAUAUUAUCCCUUUUAUUAUUCCUAUAUUUCAGAGGAGAAGACUGGAGCCCAGAGAGGCUGAAAUGCUUUCCUGUGGUUACACAGGUCUCAGUGGUAGAGUUGUUUUCUAACUUCAGCAUAUCUGGCACCAAGCACAUAUUCUUCAUUACUAACCUGAGCUGGAAGAACUAGACAACCAGAUACAGCUAAAAGAAGGAAAGGAAAGAACCAUUCUGAUCUGUUUCCAUGAUCCAUAAUAUACUUCAGAUAGAAACAAAGGUUCUCCUCUUCCCAAUGUCGGGAGUUUGUCUUGAGGCUGACUUUGAGUGCCCACUAUCUGGUAUCCCCUUGUCAGUAAAGGUCUUUGAUUCUGCAGUACACCCAGAGAUGGACCCCUUCUUGGCCCUUCAUCCCACUUGCUCCUGCUCAGCACUCCCUACUUACACACUGAGCCAAAGCCAGUGUUUUAGCCCAAGCUCUACACACUGUGAAGGCCUGGGCAAUACUUGGUGCUCUUGGACAUGGCUGGGGCCCAGAGCCGGGCCUCACACAGUGCUCUGAGAGCACCCUCCACUGCUCUCAUCUGCACAACACUCUCCCCUCCUAGUAAGGCCUUUCCUUCUCCAAAGCACAUGGCCCCUUCCCUUAUCUUUUCCUUUCCCUUCCCUUUCCUUUCCCAGGAACCCAGUCUUUGCCUAAGCCCCAACCCUUC